GUGACAGUGUCAGAAUUCGGGCAUGAAAAGGGAGUGUAGCUACUGUAAUGGAGGAGUCGCGGCUACACCGGACCAGGCUGGCUGCUACCACAGGAGAAUCUGCAACAGCUCCUGCCAGCCUGUAAUAGGACACCUAGUUGGUACAAAAUCAACUUUCGGAAAUCCAACCUUCAGCCGUUACUGCGUAUAGAGUUUCUCAGAAUUUUCCUGGACAUCAACGUACAGAGAGUCUUCCUACCACAAGACAAGGCUCUGAGUAUACAAUGACUGGUCCAGGCAGUUCUCAAGCCACGACUGGUAAUAGUUUAUUUAUGCAUUCGCUAUUUGGGGGAAAUGGUGGCGGCUUUCAAAGCUCUGGAAUUCGGAUGAUUUCAUUCACGCCCUUUCCAGCUGGACCUCUUACAACAAUGGUUGGGGUCUCACAUGCACCUUCAGCAGUUGGUCCGUUUAACUCCCAAGACAGGAGUGUCGCAUCUUUGGUGGCUCCAACAGCAGGCAGGAGGUUUGGUAUAUAUGGGACUACACGGUUCUAACGACGGAUGCCAGCCUCAGAGGUUGGGGCACGGUGGUGUUGAAUUCACACGUCCAAGGCCGUUGUUCUCCGCAAGAAUCACUGUUGCCAAUAAAUGUGUUGGAACUGAGAGCGAUCUACAAUGCUCUGGUACAGGCCGCCCACAUUCUUCGAUCCAAAGCAGUAUUCAGUUGGACAACGCGACUGCUGUAGCGUACAUCAACAAACAAGGUGGAACCCGCAGUUGCAUGAGGUGACACGCAUUCUCCAGUGGGCAGAACGCAACGCAGUAAUUCUCUCAGCAGUAUUCACUCCGGGCGUGGACAAUUGGGAAGCUAAUUACCUCAGUCGUCAGGAUAUCCAUCCAGGAGAAUGGGCGCUUCACCCAGAAGUGUUCAACGCUCUGAUACAACGUUGGGGUUGUUCUGGAGGUGGAUCUCAUGGCGUCCCGACUCAAUCAUCAGCUUCCUCGAUACAUGUCCAGAACAUGGGAUCCUCAAACAGAAGCUGUGGACACUCUGGGCCCAUACGCAUGCGCACAAACGCAGAAUUUUUGCCUGAACGCUGAAAGCUACUAGCGAUCAACUCGGAAUGAGGGCCAAUGAGCAAGAGUCAAGAAGUGUUUCCCAUUCCUUUUUAAAGUCUGAGUUUAUUUAUUUUCAAGCCUUUUGGUAUGACAUUUGCAGCCUGAUAAUGUUCAAGAGUCACCACCUCCCACCAGAUACUAUUUUCUUUCAACAUAACAAGUUCUAAGUUUUUUAAAAACUGAAUUCAAAUCCUCAUCACAAAUAUCAGUACUCUUAAUUGUAUCUAAUUAACUCCUUUCUUGUUUCUCUAAAAUUGAACAUGUUUGUAGCAAAAUACAAAACAGGAUAAGAAACAAGUCUGUGCACAAAAAUUUUUUAGCCAAAUUGCGCAAUAAAAUUAAGCAUGCAGCCACAUAAUGUACAAAAAAUGCUGCUUUGUCCAACUGAGUUAUUUGGGAUAUGCUGUUUUUAAUUAUGUGUUUUGUCUCUAAUCAUCCUCAUUUACUUGGGGUACAGAGACACUUAUUUUACAGGUGUACCGAAGCGGUUUAUACUAAAAUAAAUCCAGACCCUGUCAAGACCUUUGAGAAUACUUCUAAAAAGGAUUACUUAGUCUUCUGACUUUUUCUACAAAUGAAGAUGCUGCUUCUCUUUUUAUGGUGAUUGAUUUUUAUAAUUUUUCAUAUGAAAAGCACUGAAAGGUGUUAUAUAAUUGAAUGUGAUAUUCGGCAAGCACUCUCAUCUGUGUACAAUUAUCUUUUUGUCUACAUUUGUUUCUAUCAAGUGUUGUGGGGAUACACACUUAUUUGUACAUACUAGAGCUGCAUGCUUAAUGUUAUUGUGCAAUUUGGCUAAAAAAAAAAUUCACAUACAUUUUAAUAUCCAACAUAAGUGUGGGUGGGAAGGCACAAGAACAAUUUCACGAUUUCAUCUUGCAACGCUUUUUGCUUUUAAUCAUGGGCUGUUUGGGGGCAUUGGUGUUUGUUUUGCAGAGAUAAACAUUUUUAUUGGAUUCAU